AGGGUUAGAAGACUGCACAUAUCUCCCUUUGUGCCCCUACGGAGGUUCGACACUUAAGAUUCAAGGUAAAGUAUAUGCAAUCUUACAAGGAUGGUUCCCUGAGCCUAAAGAUCAAUGGUUACUAGAGCUAUGGCCCCCAACAUAGCACCUCCACAACUAUCGAGUAAUCAACUAGGUGUGAAGAUACAAAUGAAGAGAACAAACUCUAGUUGGGGUUCUCACGAUAGCCAAACAGGAAGAAUAUCCCAAGUGGCACCGCUACACAACCACUCUAUUUCUAAGCUAUACUCAGACCCGG
rnacentral:lncRNA from 1 species